UUGAAAGGGAAACGAUUGAAGUCAGUCGUACCGACGAGAAAUCAGCUUAUCGUGUGUUAACUUGUGGGCGUGCGUGAGUUUCGGCCUCGCUGUUUGCAAGUUUGUGCGCUUUGGGUGUACUUUUUCGUAUGGUUGGCCAACAUCAGUUUCGAUUACUAUAAAAUGACUGGCGGAAUGUAGCUUCGAUUUCGGUUGAAGUGUUAUAGCCUCUGGUAGAUGUGGUAAUUGGGACUGAGGAUUGCAACGAAUAUCCUUUGGGCUAUCCGUCUGGCCUCUGAAAGUUGCUUGGGUGCUGAAAGCUUGCUUAUGGUUAUCUAAGUUAACGGUCAAUAGGUUAGAACGUGAUUACAUUCGUUAAGGAUGUUGACGUA
rnacentral:rRNA from 1 species